ACGCUGGCGGCGUGCUUAACACAUGCAAGUCGAACGAGAAUCUGUGGAAAGAGGAUUCGUCCAAUCGAAGCAGAGGACAGUGGCGGACGGGUGAGUAACGCGUGAGGAACCUGCCUUUCAGAGGGGGGACAACAGUUGGAAACGACUGCUAAUACCGCAUAACAUAUAGAUGUCGCAUGGCAUUUAUAUCAAAGAUUUAUCGCUGAAAGAUGGCCUCGCGUCUGAUUAGCUAGUUGGUGAGGUAACGGCCCACCAAGGCGACGAUCAGUAGCCGGUCUGAGAGGAUGAACGGCCACAUUGGGACUGAGAUACGGCCCAGACUCCUACGGGAGGCAGCAGUGGGGAAUAUUGGGCAAUGGGGGAAACCCUGACCCAGCAACGCCGCGUGAAGGAAGAAGGCCUUCGGGUUGUAAACUUCUUUUACCAGGGACGAAAAAGGUGACGGUACCUGGAGAAAAAGCAACGGCUAACUACGUG
rnacentral:rRNA from 1 species